rnacentral:lncRNA from 1 species
GUUUCCUCGCAUACAUUACCAUCAAUGCCCGGCCUAGUCGUCCUUGUCUACUCCACUACCAAAUGUUGAAGUUCUUCAAGAAUCAGUCCUUUGGAGGUGAUGUCAUUGAAAAUGAUGAGUAGGAAACUCCAAGAGCGCAUUUCUCCACAAAACCAGUGAAUACAUUGGCACAAAUUGUCAGAAUCAAUUUUAUAUAAAUUCUGGAAAUUAGUCAAAGGUUUAUAGUAACCAAGGAAACAUCUUUUUAAAAAGAUGGCUGAGGCUGGAUGCUGUGGCUUAUACCUGUAAUCCCAGCACUUUGAGAGGCCAAGGCGAGCAGAGCAUUUGAGUCAGGAGUUAGAGACCAGCAAAAAAAUUAGCUGGGUGUGUUUGCGGGCACCUGUAAUCCCUCAGGGAGGCUGAGGCAGGAGAAUCGCUUGAACCUGGAAGAUGGAGGUUGCAGUGAGCCAAGAUCGUGCCACCUCACUCCAGCCUGGGUGAUAGAGUGAGACUCUGUCUCAAAAAAAAAAAAAAAAAAAAGUCUGAAUCCUGAAUCUCAGGAGCGCUUUCUAUCAUUUAAACUUACCCUGGUGCCACCUCCCUGUCCAGCUUUGAAAACAACGACAUGCAUUUCUGAUAUCUGUUCCUGGUGCCAAAGGGAGCAGGAUGGCCUUGUUUUCUUUUCUUCUUUCUUUUUUUUUUUUGAGAUGGAGUUUUGCCCGUGUUGCCCAGGCUGGAGUGCAGUGG